ACCAGUCUCCUCUUGUCACUCCGUUCGUUAAGAUGGACCUAAAAAACACACAAACAAAAAGUGCAAGAUCUUAAGACAAAGUGGGAAAUAACGUGUAGUACUUAAAUAGCCCUGAAGAUAAGUAAAAGAAAAGUAUUAAAAGGAAAACAGUGAUGUAAAAAAGUCGACAAAUAACGAAAAGUAUAACUGUAGAUUAGUGAAGGAAAAUAAUGGAAAACAAAGACAUCAAAUAGUGAAUUCCGGAAUGUUAUGUGAUGUGAUUUUAUGUGAUAUUAUGUUGUGUGAUGUGAAGGUGUGUCUUUUCCGUGUGAUGUGAGACGUGUGACGGAACGAAACCGAGCCGAGUGACGUAACAUUAACGGCGGCAGUGAUAGCGUAGAUAGCGGUUCCCUGCAUGCAACGGGACACCCAAACGGUCCCAGCGGAACACACGGGACACAGCGGAACCCAAGUAACGGGAACAUACGGCGAAUCGUAACCAACAGGACCCUAAACAAACACACAUCAACAGGACCCGAAGUACCAUAAAAAUAGAUCUAGAUACUCACGAGGCGAAGUAACAGGAGCAGUGGGUCAAGUAACAGACGCUGGUGCGGACGAAGAUCAAGAGAAACAUGAAGUGACAGGAUAAGAAAGUAAAGUAACAGGAGCUGAAACGUACAAAACAUUACAGAACGAAAGGACAAAGUAACGCAAGGAUUGUUAGGUCUAGCAGAAGCAGGAACGGAAGCAAAUCAACCGGAACUAAAGUAGGAGGAAGAAAGCAGUAGCAGAAGUGACAAGCAGGAACAUACAUGAGACUAACAACACUAGUGACAGCGUUAGUAACAGUAAGAGUAAUAAAACACAGAUCGAUCAACAGGAACCAAAGUAACAACGGUAACAACAUCAGUAGUAACAGUAACAGAAACAUCCAUACAACAUCUAAAACCCAGGUAACAGUGGUAGUAGAAACAGCAGCAACGGAAGCAAUAUGUAGUAAAAACAGUCACUUAAAAUCGCUGUGGAAUACAAAAAGGGUCCUCGUAAGAAGUAUUAGAAGAAGACAAAAGACUCAAGAGGUGUGUUAUGGGAAAGCAGGAGCCAAGUAGCGAGCGUAAUAGCAUCAGCAGCAGGAGGACGUUGACUCGGCAUGGACCAGAGAACCCUCGCAGAGCCUUAUAAAGCAGGAGACGCAAACAGAAAGAGGAGUAACAAUAAUAAUAAUAAUAGUGGAAAGGGAUAGAUAACACGAGAAGAGAGAAAGCAACACCGUAAUAAUAGGAAAGAAGUAACGGAAGAAAAGAAAACAUUAAUGACGUCAAAAGUAACAGUAAAAGAAGGAAAGAAGUAACAGAGGAAAGAGAAAAAUUUCGAUGACAACAUAAAGUAACACAUAAAAGUAGGAAUAUUUAGAGAAACGUUAAGAAGCAACGACGAACUGACAAACAAAGAAACGCCUGCAAUCAGAAAAAAGAAAAGCAAGUUAAGAAUAAAUAAGAAGAAAGAGAAGAAGAAAAGAAAGAAGGAAAGAAAACAGGAAGUAAGAGGAGAAGGGAAGAAAAUAAAGACAGAUAAGAAAAGAAUAAGAGUAGUAAUACUAGAAAAAAAAGUAGAAGAAGAAAAGGAAGAGGAAGAAGAAGAAGAAAAAGGAAAGCAAGUAAAGAAUAAAUAAUAAGAAAGAGUAGAAGAAAAGAAAGAAGGAAAGAAAACAGGAAGUAAGAGGAGAAGAGAAGAAAAGAAAGACAGAUAAGAAAAGAAUAAGAAGUAGAAGAAGUAGGAGAAGAAAAGGAAGAGGAGGAAGAAGAAGUUAAUCAAGAAAAAAGAAGAAAAUAAUAAGUAAAGAAACAGAAAAAGAAGAAAAAGGUCUAGUGACAGAGAGACACCCACCCAGACUCACCAGCACCAACCAACCCAGACGACGACGAAGAGGAACCAGCAGUAGGAGGAGAGAAGAAAAGGAAGAAGAAGCACCAGAAACAGAAGCAAGCCCAACAGCGCCGCAUAAGAGCCGGGAGUGUGUCGAGGGAAGUGCGCGGACCAGACCAAACAUCGUCCCCUUCUGCGCCACGUGUUGAACUUAGCGUCUCUUGUAAACUGUGAAUCCGAUACUCUAUUCAAAUACUACCCACCCCUCACGCCUCUUCCAUCACCUCCCAUCCCUCUCCUCCUCCUCCUCCUCCUCCUCCUCCUAUCCUCCUUCUCUUUCUCUUGUCUUCUCCUCUUCCUGUUGCGUUCUCUCCUUUCUUCCUCUUUCUCUGCUUCCUCAAUCUUUAUUUCUUGUUUCCCGUUUAGUUUGUCUUCUUCCUUUUCCUCCAUUCUUCCUCUGUUUCCUUUUCUUCUUCCUUUCCCUUUAAUUCUUCCUUCCUGUUUAGUUUGUCUUCCUUCUAAUUCUUCCUUCUGUUCCUUUUAUCUUCUUCCUUUUCGUAAAUUCCUUCAUCUUUUAUUCUUCUUUCCGUUUACUUUUUCUUUUCCCAGCUUCCUCUACUUCUAAUUUUUCCUUUCUUUUCUUAGCUUCUUUCACUUCUAAAUCUUUUUAACGUAUAUUUUGUCUUUUUCCUUUUCCUAGAUUCCUCAACCUCAAGUUCACUCUCCUUUUACUUUCCCUUUUUCCUUUUCCUAGUUUCGUCCUGUUUUCUUUGUCCUUUUCCUUUUCUUUCCAUCUCUUUUACCGUCUGUGCUGUUCCUUUAUCUCCUCCAUCUCUUCGCCCUCCUUCCCAAAGUAUCUCAUUCUCCUCCAUCUCUUCUUCCUGUCUCCACACCUUUAUCUCUUUCCUUCCUUCUCUAGCAUCUCCUCUCCUUACCUCCUUGACCUUUACAUCCUCCCUCUCCCUCUCCUCCUUCUGCUCUUCCUGCCACCACUGCACCUCCAUCUCCUUCAUCAUCUCCCCUUCUUCCUGCAUCCCCCAGCAUCCGUAUCCCACACACACCUUCACCUUCCGGCCCACCUGCUCACCUGUGCUCUUAACCUUUACCUGGAGGCCUUCGUGUUGGAAUCUCUGUCCAGCGCGAGCCAGCUUCUGUGUCCUUGUGGCGCGGACGUGAGGUGGAGCUAGGGAAAAAAAGUAACAAAGGUUGGGAGAGAAGAGAGUCAGACACGCGAGGUAGACGAACAGACAGACAGACGGACGAAGAGGGUGAGGAUUUCGGACCACAGCAUCAAGGAAGCUUAAGAAAAAAAGGUAGACAGGUAAUAAGAGAAGGAAGAGAGACGCUAAGAAGAGCAAAAGAAGAGACAGACACGCGAGGUAGACAGACAGACAGACGGACAGAAUCUUAGGUGAGGAUUACGGACUGCAUCAUCAAGGACGGUUAGAUAAGAAGAUAGACGGAAUAAGAAGAGAGGGUAGACAGACAAAGGAAGAGAAAUAGAAGGAAUAACUGACACAAGAUACGGAGAAGAAACGCAGAUGAGGAUUAUAAACUCCAGUAUCAAGGAAGAUUAGAGAAAAAGAUAACUGAACAAGAAGAAAAGGGGGAAAACAGACGCAAGAAAGAGCAGAAAAGAGAGAAACAGACACACGAAAUAGAAAGAAGAAACGCUGCAGGGAAUACGAAACGCAACAUUAAGAAAGCAUUAAGGAAAAGAAAGCGACUGAGGUAGAAAAGAACAAGAAGAAAAGGGAGAGUUAGAGAAGAGAGACACACGCAAAGCAGAAAAAAAGAAGAAACACACCUGGGAAUAAGAAACGCAACAUUAUGAAACUGUAAGAAAGAAAGAUAGAGAACCAGGAGGGAAAACACAAAACAAAAACAAGGAGAUAAGAAAAAACAAACACAAGUAAAGCAAGAAAAAGACAAACUCGCGAGAAACAGCAAGAGAUAAUUACUCAACAUAAGAUCAAGGGAAUUUAGAGCAGAAUCGAGUCUCCCUCCCGCUUUUUCUUCCCGCUGAGAGCAAGAAAAAGCGAGUGAGAGCGAGCACAGCAGACGCCCAGCAGAGGAGCAGCAGUAGGAUAUCAGCAGGACCGGGGAAAGAUUAGCAGGAUGAGGCAACAAUUGAGAUAGUGUAGCCCAGCAUCCUCAUCCUUCCAGCAUCCCUCCCUCCUUUUCCUCCUCCUUCUCCUCCUCCUCCUCCUUAUGAAGUCGUAGGAGAGGCACGGAGACAAGGACACGUUCAAGGCUACUAGAGUCCUACUAAAAGAAUCCUACACUGUAAAAAGCGAGGAAAAAGACGUUGAAAAAGGAAUUUGAGAGAGAGAGAGAGAGUUUUAAUACGAAGGUGAAAAUAGAAGCCUGUACCGACCAAAUACCGCUAUCUUUGUGUGUGUGUGUGUGCGUGUGUGUGUGUGUGUGUGUGUGUGUGUGUGGCCGGAGAGGUGAACAGACCACUUGAGUGAAUCGAUUCGAAGCACGUGAACCGGAGUGGCAUUGAUCGGCCCAAAAACCCAAGAGAAGGAGGAAAAAAAAGAAGAAAAAAAAGGUUGAAGAAACGAGAGAGAAAAAAAGGUUCGGAAAAUAAACUCGAUAAAGGAAGAAAACUCGAAGGAAGAAAAGUGUACCGCGAACAAAGGGAGUUUUUUUUCCUUUGUUCGCUUCACCGUUGAGGAAAUAGAGAUAGGAAAUAAAUUAUAAAGAGAAGAACAGAUUAAAGAAUAGCAUUGCAUAGGGAAGAAAAGGUGAUAACAGAGGAAGUAUAUGGAAAAGGCCGCGAAGAAGGAAGAAAGGAAAUAGGGAGAAUAGGGACGGAAAGGUGUUAACGAAGAGGACUUAAAAGCGAAAUACAACUAAGACUAAAUAAAGAAAAUAAUUAAAUAUAGAGGGAAAGAAAGUGUUAACGGAAAGGAAGGAAGAUAGUGCAUGGGGAAAAAAGUGAAUUACGAUGAAAAUAAGUGGAAAAUAGAGUGAUAAAGGAAGUGAACUAUUAAAAAAAGAGAAGAAAAGAGGAAUGAAUAAAUUAGAAGUUGGUGAAAAAUUGUGCAAAGAAACCUGAAAAAAAGCGAGAAGAGAAAAUAGACAGAAAAUUAGAAAAGAGAAAAUAGAAGAAAAUUAGCAUAGCGUCACAAGAAAAGAAGUACAAUAGAAAAAAACAAACAAAAGAAAACAAAGUAGAAAAUUAAUAAUCAUAAGCUAAAAAAAAGAUAAAAAAGUA